ensembl:lncRNA
AUACAGGGUAUGAGAUGGAUCAGACAUUUGUGAGGGUAACAUUUCCUCCUCCAAAUCUGAAGGUGGACAAGGUAGACUGAAUCCUCUCUCUCUAUUUGGGGCCCCGACAUGAAAGCGAUACUACAUUACCAAUGUGACAGGUAUGAAAAUUACUCCAUGUCACGUGACGCCGCCUUUUCUUCCUGGAGCCUGUGAGGGAAAGGAAGGGAGGCUCAUCACCUUACAGUCGAGUCCUGAGAUACCGUCUCUGAUCUGCUAGCAGGGUUGGAGCGGGGGUCAGAGGGCAGAAGCAACAAGAGAAACAAGGUCACCCGUGCUACAAGUCAGUUUUCGACAUCCACCCAUGACUGAGGACUUGGAAACCAUCCACUAGGCGCAACAGUCAGCACUGGAACCUUGAAGCAAACCCAGGGAAAAUUAAACAAGCACUUUCUGGUCAUUAAUCUGGAUAUGUGCGCCCGCCUUUGACGGCCAACGAUGAUGAGUGGCCAACGAUGAUGAGUGGCCAACGAUGAUGAGUGGCCAACGAUGAUGAGUGGCC